UCACAUUAGUUUUAGAUUCAACAAGGGAGUGGAUCACACUUUAUUCUACCCAGAUCCCACCCAAACACAACAACAACACCAGCCUUUCAUCAAACAUCUUGGAUUUGGAUUCUUUAAAGCACUUGAUCACUUUUGAUCAACAAAGACGACCUAGCUCGAUGUAAAUACGACCACCUGAGCAUAAGCACCCUGUGAGAUGAAUUUAUUUGUUAAGUUGUGUAGUUUGGAACACGCUAAAGUGACUUUUGUAGAAUGGACAGGGUCGUUCGAGUAUGAUACCUUCAAAUAUAAGUUGUUUGAUAGGUAUGGGGAUGAUGGUUGAGCCUAAGAUAGAGGC
rnacentral:lncRNA from 1 species